AACGGACGCUGGCGGCAGGCCUAAUACAUGCAAGUCGAACGCACUCUUCGGAGUGAGUGGCGAACGGGUGAGUAACGCGUGGGAAUCUACCCUUUGGUACGGAAUAACCCUUCUAACGGGGGGCUAAUACCGUAUACGCCCUUCGGGGGAAAGAUUUAUCGCCAUAGGAUGGGCCCGCGUCGGAUUAGCUUGUUGGUGAGGUAAUGGCUCACCAAGGCGACGAUCCGUAGCUGGUCUUAGAGGAUGAUCAGCCACACUGGGACUGAGACACGGCCCAGACUCCUACGGGAGGCAGCAGUGGGGAAUAUUGGACAAUGGGCGCAAGCCUGAUCCAGCCAUGCCGCGUGAGUGACGAAGGCUUUCGGGUCGUAAAGCUCUUUCAGUGGGGACGAAGGGAAACUUGACGGUACCCACAGAAGAAGCACCGGCUAACUCCGUG
rnacentral:rRNA from 1 species